UCGAAGAAGUGGCAUACUUAGUGGCAGACGGGUGAGUAACAUGUGGGUAUCUUCCCUUUGGCCUGGAAUAACACGAGGAAACUUGUGCUAAUACCGGAUAAGUCUUUACGGAGAAAGCUUUAUGCACCAUUGGAUGAGCCUGCACUUGAUUAGUUUGUUGGUGGGGUAAUGGCCUACCAAGACUGUGAUCAAUAGCUGAUUUGAGAGGAUGAUCAGCCACAUUGGGACUGAGACACGGCCCAAACCCCUACGGGAGGCAGCAGUGGGGAAUCUUGCACAAUGGAGGAAACUCUGAUGCAGCGAUGCCGCGUGAGUGAAGAAGGCCCUUGGGUUGUAAAGCUCUUUCGUCGGGGAAGAAAAUGACUGUACCCGAAUAAGAAGGUCCGGCUAACUUCGUGCCAGCAGCCGCGGUAAUACGAAGGGACCUAGCGUAGUUCGGAAUUACUGGGCUUAAAGAGUUCGUAGGUGGUUGAAAAAGUUAGUGGUGAAAUCCCAGAGCUUAACUCUGGAACUGCCAUUAAAACUUUUCAGCUAGAGUAUGAUAGAGGAAAGCAGAAUUUCUAGUGUAGAGGUGAAAUUCGUAGAUAUUAGAAAGAAUACCAAUUGCGAAGGCAGCUUUCUGGAUCAUUACUGACACUGAGGCACGACACAUGGGUAGCGAAGAGGAUAGAUACCUCGUAGUCAUCCGCAACGAGUUGUC
rnacentral:rRNA from 1 species